rnacentral:rRNA from 1 species
UUGGAGGGCAAGUCUGGUGCCAGCAGCCGCGGUAAUUCCAGCUCCAAUAGCGUAUAUUAAAGUUGUUGCAGUUAAAAAGCUCGCAGUUGAAUUUCGGGAUCAAGGGAUCGGUCAUGCCUUGGUAUGUACUGGUCUUAUUGGUUCUCACCUUCUAAAGAACCAUGAUGUCAUUCAUUUGAUGUUAUGGGGAAUUAGGACUGUUACCUUGAAAAAAUUAGAGUGUUUAAAGCAAGCUUACGCUUGAAUACAUUAGCAUGGAAUAAUGAAAUAGGACAUCAGAUUCUAUUUUGUUGGUUUCUAGGAUCGAUGUAAUGAUUAAUAGGGAUAGUUGGGGGCAUUAGUAUUCAAUUGUCAGAGGUGAAAUUCUUGGAUUUAUUGAAGACUAACUACUGCGAAAGCAUUUGCCAAGGAUGUUUUCAUUAAUCAAGAACGAAAGUUAGGGGAUCGAAGACGAUCAGAUACCGUCGUAGCCUUAACCAUAAACUAUGCCGACUAGGGAUCGGAUGAUGUUAAUUUUUUAAUGACUCAUUCGGCGCCUUACGGGAAACCAAAGUGUUUGGGUUC